GUCAGUGUAUUAAAACUGAAAUCGGAUAAACGUGGUUUUGGUUGACACUGUAAGAAGUCUGCAGCUGUGCUCAGUGACGUGAUCUGUUACCUCAGGGUCUCAGGCUUAUUAGUGAACUUUUUGUUGGAGCAUUAUAUUUAAAAUCAAGAGAAAUGAAAUUCUAACAUAAAUUCUUACUUCCUUUACACAUAUUGAAUAACCUGAAAAGUAAGCGUCUAAGACUCUGCUGGGGAAAGUUAGUUCAGAACAGCAUCCAAACCAGCAUGUGCUCCAAACAGGAAGCUACCUCAUGUUGGUAAACUUAGCGUGCAGCUUGUAAUGAUCUCAUGAGGGUUAGGCAAUGGGAAAAUACCAAUGACAGUGAGUACUGUGGAAUCCCACACCUUAUCUCUGAAAGAAGCAGUUUUCCUCUUGGUAUUUUCUCCUGAAGGGAAAUGCUCUGUUCUGUUUGAGGACCAGGUAAGUUGUCUCUUUCCCUUUGCAGUAACUGUUUAAUUGAACAUAGAUGUUAAAACAAGCCGUUUGUGAAAUGGGCAACUCUAGCCCCCAAAUUGCUAUGGCCAUCUUCUAGAUUAGUCUUGAGCGCUCAGACAGUGAAUUAACUGUGUGUUAGGAGGGGGAGAAGACCAGAUGAAGUUCUUAGGGCAUUUAGAUGGAAAUCACAGUGCUCUCCAGGGACACUGAGUGGUAUGAAUUCCUUCAGACAGGAAGACUUGAACUUUAAUCUUCUUUGAGAUGACUUCUGUGUCAUCUCCAAGUAGAAGUUGUAUAGGCAAUAUAAAGUUAUUCAUGUCUAUUACACAACAUAUUCUGUGCUUACAUUGUGCUUUGGUUGUAUACAUAUGAGAGUAGGUAAGAAUGUCAGUGAUUGGAGGAAAAAAAAAGAUUCAAUUUGUGUUUGUAGUCUCUUGAGUUAAAAACUAAUGUCUGAGUUGUCUGAGCAGAGGAAUGCCCAGUUUCUGUUUCGGGUUUGAAUGCAGUUAUACUCUAGGUGCUGAGUUGCUCAUUUCUGUCGGGACUAGAAGCCUCUGGGCAUGUUCGAAGAUGCAGCUCUAGACAACUUGGGAACUUUUCAGUUCAGACAAGGGAAGUGCCUUUGGCAAGACAGUUGAGCAAGGAUUUCUCAAGUUCACAAUUUUCAGUGUAGGUACUUGGGUUUCAGUGAAACCCUUUAUACUGUCCCCUCUUCUAAUCUGGCCUUUGCUGACUAGUUUAUUUUACUUAAGUAACCUCAUUGUUUCACUGAACUAUUUUGCAAGUUGGAAAUAAUCUAAAUUACAAUCAUAUAUCUCAUACCUUAAUGAGACAAACAGGGAGAAAAAGGUAGGAAAAGAAAAAUUUGCCUCCCUGUUCUAAGUGCUAGUUCUUGCCUUGUUUGUUAGUAUUACAAAUAUAAAAAGCUUUUAAAUGUAAAGUUUACUAGCACAGUGUUAGCAGGAAGUAUGGGACUUAUAACGUGAUAUUUGAGUGCAGCAGCAUUAGAUUGCAGUAAAACUGUAUUUAAUUCUUACAGGCAUUAAGUUGAUUGUAUACCCAGUUGGUUAUUAAUAAUGAUAAUUUCCAUGUUUUAAAAUAAGAUUUGAAACAGGAAAGAUUUUCUGUUGAGCUUCGAAGAGCUUCCAAGUGUCCACAGUGACUUGGAAGGAAGUAACAGCUGUGAAGAAGACAGUGGAAAAGAUUAUGAAAUCUGCUUUAUAAAACAGCUUGUAGUGAUUAAGCCAAUAAGACCUGUCAUCAAAUAACAAGUCUGAUGUUCUUCGAUUUUCAUUAACAAUUGGCACAGAGUCACUAUGCAGCAAAUAUGGAAUUCUUAAAUGGUUUGUUAGUUUAUUUAAAUUCAUCACCUCCUUGGAGCUGAAUCUAUUAUUUGGUCAUCCCAAGCAGAAUAUCAGUCUUCUAACGGGUUGUUUUUUCACCUCACUUAAGAAUUUCUGUUGGUGUGAUGCCAAUGUUUGCUGUAAUUUUCAGUUACAGGCAGUUGUAGAGGAGGCAGUUCUUACUAACUUAAAUAUGCAAGGGGCCGCCUUUCAGUUUCACUAAGCACAUGCUCAUGUUUUGUGCUUCUAUUCUGUAUGGAUAGAUAGACAUUGCUUUAAGAAUCUUCUGUUCAAGUAAUCAAGCAAUAAGCAAUCUUUGCAGUGUUGUCUUAUGUACAAGUGUUACAAGCUGCUGAGGUUUACUUUCAUACAGUUUUUACUUCCAGCUCCAGGAAUCAGCAAAGCAUCAUCUAUUUAUUUUUUUUUAAAUCCCAUAUUGUUUAAACUGUUGGAAAUUAAUUAAAAACACUCUCCUGUAUAAACUGAUUGAACUGAUUGUUAAAUCUCUUGCAUAUGCGAGUAUUAUUGAGCACAUAAAUGGUGCUGCAUUUGAAAGGGAAAAGGUCUGAGUUUUUGCUAUAGUUCUUUUUAUUAAGAUUCUCAGUAGCAGAUAUAAGCUUUAGUGCACUGCUUCCUAUAAAAGCAAGUAGUAGAAGUUACUUUUUUGUAUUUUUUUUUUUCCUCAACUAUAUUUUAAUGUAUUUUCACUAAGUAUGUUUUAUGGAUAUGCAGUUUGGUUUAAAAAGGAAUUGUAAUUGAGUGUUUCUGUUAUUACGACAAAUGUGGAUAAAGUGAUGUUAAAUCAAGGGGAAAUAACCUUAUGAAGGAUCAUUUGCAAACAGAGAGAUUAGGAAGUCUACAUGGAAGGAAAGCUGUCCAAACUACAACUAAAUGAAUGCUUCAUUAAAUCACGAAUCAAGUUCUGAAGCAAUAAUUUUAAAAGAUUUCAGCAUUUGGAGGAUUUCAGCUUGUUUGUUCAAAUAUGUGUAUUUUUACUUCAGUCCUGCAUUGACUUUAAGCAUGGCGCACGUAUUAAAGACACUCAACAGCUGGUUCUGGUGGGAGAACAUUUGGAUGCCCAUCAAUUGCACAUGGGCAGAUUUUGUGGACCGCGAUGGCCUUGUCUUUCCAAAACCACAACAGCUGUAUGCCACAAUACCGUAUGCUUUUGUAUUGCUGAUUAUCCGAUUCUUCAUUGAAAGAUACAUUGCUAUUCCUCUAGCAAAAGCCUUAGGUAUAAAGAAUGUAAGACGUGUGAAGCCGCAGCCUAAUCCUGUUUUAGAGAGUUAUUUCCGGGAGUGCUCAAGACAUCCAUCUCAAUCAGAAAUUCAAGGCCUUGCCAAAAAGUGCAACUGCACAGUCCACCUGGUGGAAAAGUGGUUUAGGAGACGACGAAACCUUGAGAUCCCAACAGUGCUUCGGAAAUUCCAGGAAGCUUUCUGGAGAUUCUCGUUCUAUUUUGCAUCCUCCAUUGUUGGGUUUAUAUUUCUGUAUGAUAAGCCUUGGUUUUACGACAUAUGGCAGACGUGGGUUGGCUAUCCAUUUCAGACUUUGCUGCCGUCUCAAUAUUGGUACUACAUGGCUGAGAUUAGUUUCUACUGGUCUCUCUUAUUUACACUUGGGAUUGAUACCAAAAGGAAGGAUUUUAAGGCUCACGUCGUUCAUCACUUUGCAGCCAUUGGGUUGAUGAGUGGCUCUUGGUGUGGCAAUUACGUGCGUGUUGGAACACUGGUGAUGUUUGUGCAUGAUACUGCAGAUUUCUGGCUUGAGGCAGCCAAAAUGUUUAAUUAUGCUCGCUGGGAGAAAACCUGCAAUAUUCUCUUUUUCCUCUUUGCUGUCGCAUUCUUCAUCACAAGAAUCAUCCUGUUCCCCUUUUGGAUUCUGCGUGCCACGUUGUAUCAACCUACAUUCUACUCCACCACUCCAGUCAUAGCCUAUUUCUUAUUCAACGGGAUGCUACUGAUCCUUCAAGGCUUACAUAUAUAUUGGGGUUACUUGAUCCUCAAGAUUUUGAAAAAGUUCAUUUUCUCAAAGGGAUCUGCUCAGUACAGAGACAUCCAAAUGUGCUUUCUGCCCUUCAAGUUCACGUGCAAGGCCACAGAUCAGAAUAGCAAAACUUCAGGUACAGUUUUUUGGGUUGGUUUUUUUUUUUUUGUGGCCUGUAUCUGAUGGUAAAUGAGAAGUGAACUCUUCCAAAAGCUGGAGCCCAGAGGUGGUACAGAACUCUUGACAUGCCUGUUUUCAGAGUGGAAGUACUUUAGUGGAAGGACUUUAUAAGAACAAUCACAAAAAAGAAGGGAGGACCUGAAAGAUGACCGGAGUGAUGAAGAGGAAGAAGAUUCUGUUACAGAUAACGAAGAGGAGUCCACAAAGAAUGGCAGUAAGAAUGGCUGUGGGUCAGGCAAA